AUGGCCACCGGCAGCAGCAAGUGGUGGCAAGGGCCAAUGGACUUCCCGCCGCAGCCGCAGCCGCAGCAGAUGCAGCAGCAUCAGCCGCUCCAGCACCAGCACCAGCCGCUGCAGCUGCCGGCGGUGACCAUGCCGGCGCCGGCUCCAGCGGUGGCCGCCUCGCCGGAGAGCAAGCAGCAGCAGCAGCAGGGCCAGGGCCAGGGCGAGGGGCAGAUGGGGGCGGCGGCGGGGGCCAUCGUGCCGCUGCGGAGGCCGCGGGGCCGGCCGAUGGGGUCCAAGAACAAGCCCAAGCCGCCGAUAAUCAUCACGCGCGACAGCCCCGACGCGCUCCACUCGCACAUCCUGGAGGUGGCCCCGGGCGCGGACGUCGCCGCCUGCGUCGCCGAGUACGCGCGCCGCCGCGGCCGGGGCGUCUGCGUGCUGGGCGCGUCCGGCUCCGUCGUGGACGUCGUCGUGCGCGGCGCGGCCUCGGCCGCGCCCCUCCCGGGGCGCUUCGAGCUCCUCUCCAUGACCGGCACCGUGCUCCCGCCCCCGGCGCCGUCCGAGGCGUCCGGCCUCGCAGUCAUGCUCUCCGCCGGGCAGGGCCAGGUCCUCGGUGGCUGCGUCGUGGGGCCGCUCGUCGCCGCCGGGCCCGUCACCCUCUUCGCCGCCACCUUCGCCAACGCCGUCUACGAGCGCCUGCCCCUCCAGGACGCCGCCGACGCCGACGUCAAGCCCGACCUCUCCGCCGCCCCCGACGCCUCGGUCCCGCAAGAAGUGCAAGCGCAGCAGCCACUGGCGAUCUCCCAGGCCAUGGCCAUGGGCGCGGGCUACCCCGACCACCGCUCACCGCAGUACCCGUGGGGAGGCCACCAGGGAGGCGGCAUCUGA
rnacentral:rRNA from 1 species